AAAAUACAAAGAAUAAGAAUUCAAUAAGAAGUCCAAUUUUCAGCAACAUCAAUUACUUCAUUCAGUACUUUUAAUUCAGUUUCUGGAUGGAACAGAUUCAAUUAAAAUUUCAAAAAUAUCCAGUUGUGUUCGCAUUUUCUUCCAGAUUUGUUGCACUUGAAUUAAAGCAUUAUGUGAAGGAGGAAGACCUUCCAGUUUCAUUUCUAUAUUAUUUUUCCUCGUACAAUUUAAAGUUAUUGCUUUGGUCAACCAAAAUGAACAGUUUAUUUCAGGAUGCUGCUGAAACCACUACUUUACAAUUUUGCUUGCAUGAAUGUGACAGUUGUCUUGAACAAAUGUAAAAGAAUAUCCUGAAAAAUAAACAGCCAACAUAACUGGCAAGAGAAGAG
rnacentral:lncRNA from 1 species